UACGAAGGGGGCUAGCGUUGUUCGGAAUUACUGGGCGUAAAGCGCGCGCAGGCGGCUAUCCAAGUCAGUGGUGAAAGCCCGGAGCUCAACUCCGGAACUGCCAUUGAAACUGUUUAGCUGGAGUAUGAGAGAGGUGAGUGGAAUUCCCAGUGUAGAGGUGAAAUUCGUAGAUAUUGGGAAGAACACCGGUGGCGAAGGCGGCUCACUGGCUCAUUCCUGACGCUCAGGCGCGACAGCGUGGGGAUCAAACAGG
rnacentral:rRNA from 1 species